rnacentral:rRNA from 1 species
UUUUUAAAAUAUUAUUUUUAAUUUUUAAUUAAAUUUAAUUAAAAAAAAUAAUUAUUUUUUAGUAAAAAUAUGAAAAAAUUAGGUUAAUUAUAGAUUAUUAGUAUUGAGAAAGAAUUAUCUUUAAAAUUUAAAAAGAAGAAGGGAUUUUGUACCUUGUGUAUCAGGGUUUAUUAAAUUAGAUUAAAAUAAUAUUUUCUCGAAUUUAAAAGAGUUAAAAUAAUAUAAUUUUAUUGUAGAAUAAAUAUUUAAAAUAUUAUUUUUGAAAUGAAACGUUAUACGUUUUUAAUAUAUCUAGUUAUUUAAGAAAAAAAUUAAAUUUUAUUAUUAUUAAUAUAAAAUUAAUUUUAUAAUGAUAUAUUAUUAAUAUUUAAUUUAUAAAGGGAUAAGCUUUUAUAAAAAUUAUUAAAAUUUUAUAUUUUUAGGAAAAAUUAUAGGAUUAGUAGUUUCUAUUAUUAAAAUAAUGUUAUAGUUGAUUUUAUUAAAUUAUUAUUUAUAUAAAUUUUAAAUAGUUUAUUAAAUUGAAAAUUAUAAUUUAAUUAAAUUUUGAAAUAAUGAUAAAAUUAGUAAAAUAUAAUAUAAAAAUAGAUAAAAAGAUAAAGGUUAAAUAAAGGAAUUCGGCAAAAGAUUUUUCACCUGUUUAUUAAAAACAUGGCCUUUUGAUAAUAAUUUAAGGUCUGACCUGCCCACUGAGGAAUUUAAAGGCCGCGGUAAAUUGACCGUGCUAAGGUAGCAUAAUCAUUAGUUUUUUAAAUGGAAGCUGGAAUGAAUGGUUGGAUGAAAAAAUAACUGUCUCUAUUUAAUUUAGAAUGAAUUUUAUUUUUAAGUAAAAAAGCUUACAUUUAUUUAAAAGACGAGAAGACCCUAUAGAGUUUUAUAAAAAUUUAAAUUUUGGUUUUUUAGAAUUAUUAUUUUAUAAUUUAAAUUAUAUUUGAUUGGGGCGAUUGGAAAAUUUAAUUAACUUUUUUUAUAAAUUUUACAUAAAUUAAUGAAAAAUUGAUCCAUAA